UCGAGCCAGGCAAAGCAGUGACGUUCACCUGCCGCCGGGGCCUGGUGCUGCGAGGCUCUGCCCGCCGUGUCUGCCAGAACUCAGGCCAGUGGUCGGGGGAGGAGCCGCGCUGUGAGGGCCGCUAUGCCUAAGACAACGUGACCUCUGUGGCCGAGCACCUGGACAUGUCAGAAGAAAUCACCUCGCACGCACAAACAGGCACCAACAUAUACUUUGUCCUGCACUAGCAGCGGCGCAUCGGGCCUGGAAUUGAAAACAAUUGGGA